GUGGGAUAUGGUGAUAUGGCUCCAUCAACAUUUUUAGGAAAAUUAGUGGGUAGUUUAUGUGCCAUUAUGGGUGUCUUGACGAUAGCGCUUCCAGUUCCUGUAAUUGUAUCUAAU
rfam:Strongyloides papillosus strain LIN genome assembly, scaffold: SPAL_contig0000319